ACAGGCUUAACACAUGCAAGUCGAGGGGCAGCAUUUCAGUUUGCUUGCAAACUGGAGAUGGCGACCGGCGCACGGGUGAGUAACACGUAUCCGACCUGCCGAUAACUCGGGGAUAGCCUUUCGAAAGAAAGAUUAAUACCCGAUGGUAUAAUCAGACCGCAUGGUCUUGUUAUUAAAGAAUUUCGGUUAUCGAUGGGGAUGCGUUCCAUUAGGCAGUUGGUGAGGUAACGGCUCACCAAACCUUCGAUGGAUAGGGGUUCUGAGAGGAAGGUCCCCCACAUUGGAACUGAGACACGGUCCAAACUCCUACGGGAGGCAGCAGUGAGGAAUAUUGGUCAAUGGGCGCAGGCCUGAACCAGCCAAGUAGCGUGAAGGAUGACUGCCCUAUGGGUUGUAAACUUCUUUUAUAUGGGAAUAAAGUUUUCCACGUGUGGAAUUUUGUAUGUACCAUAUGAAUAAGGAUCGGCUAACUCCGUGCCAGCAGCCGCGGUAAUACGGAGGAUCCGAGCGUUAUCCGGAUUUAUUGGGUUUAAAGGGAGCGUAGGUGGACAGUUAAGUCAGUUGUGAAAGUUUGCGGCUCAACCGUAAAAUUGCAGUUGAUACUGGCUGUCUUGAGUACAGUAGAGGUGGGCGGAAUUCGUGGUGUAGCGGUGAAAUGCUUAGAUAUCACGAAGAACUCCGAUUGCGAAGGCAGCUCACUGGACUGCAACUGACACUGAUGCUCGAAAGUGUGGGUAUCAAACAGGAUUAGAUACCCUGGUAGUCCACACAGUAAACGAUGAAUACUCGCUGUUUGCGAUAUACAGUAAGCGGCCAAGCGAAAGCAUUAAGUAUUCCACCUGGGGAGUACGCCGGCAACGGUGAAACUCAAAGGAAUUGACGGGGGCCCGCACAAGCGGAGGAACAUGUGGUUUAAUUCGAUGAUACGCGAGGAACCUUACCCGGGCUUAAAUUGCAUUUGAAUAUAUUGGAAACAGUAUAGCCGUAAGGCAAAUGUGAAGGUGCUGCAUGGUUGUCGUCAGCUCGUGCCGUGAGGUGUCGGCUUAAGUGCCAUAACGAGCGCAACCCUUAUCUUUAGUUACUAACAGGUCAUGCUGAGGACUCUAGAGAGACUGCCGUCGUAAGAUGUGAGGAAGGUGGGGAUGACGUCAAAUCAGCACGGCCCUUACGUCCGGGGCUACACACGUGUUACAAUGGGGGGUACAGAAGGCAGCUACCUGGUGACAGGAUGCUAAUCCCAAAAGCCUCUCUCAGUUCGGAUCGAAGUCUGCAACCCGACUUCGUGAAGCUGGAUUCGCUAGUAAUCGCGCAUCAGCCAUGGCGCGGUGAAUACGUUCCCGGGCCUUGUACACACCGCCCGUCAAGCCAUGAAAGCCGGGGGUACCUGAAGUACGUAACCGCAAGGAGCGUCCUAGGGUAAAACUGGUAAUUGGGGCUAAGA
rnacentral:rRNA from 1 species